UCUGGUUAUGUUAAAUCUGAAGUGGGUCUAUAUUGAUCUUUUGGUUUUGAUUUGGAUUUAGCUGUAGAUAUGGAGUAUAUUUGUGAGAGUGAGAGUGGGACCAUUAGCUCUGAUUUGAUGUUCCCCAUAUUUGGAAUUAACGUUACGGUUAGGUGAAUAACAAGAGUAUUUGAUGAUGACACAAUGGUCUGAAGGAAUCUUUUUCUUCUAGAUAGAAUACCGUACUUUCUUGCCUUUUACGAGGAAAAAUACCAAAGUCUUGCAAGAAAAUCAGAGAAUAUUUUUGAAGCUGCCAGUUUG
rnacentral:misc_RNA from 1 species